CCUACGGGGGGCAGCAGUGGGGAAUAUUGGACAAUGGGCGAAAGCCUGAUCCAGCCAUGCCGCGUGUGUGAAGAAGGCCUUCGGGUUGUAAAGCACUUUCAGUGGGGAAGAAAGCCUUGGGGCUAAUGCCCUCGAGGAAGGACAUCACCCACAGAAGAAGCACCGGCUAACUCCGUGCCAGCAGCCGCGGUAAUACGGAGGGUGCGAGCGUUAAUCGGAAUUACUGGGCGUAAAGCGCGCGUAGGCGGUCUGAUAAGCCGGUUGUGAAAGCCCCGGGCUCAACCUGGGAACGGCAUCCGGAACUGUCAGGCUAGAGUGCAGGAGAGGAAGGUAGAAUUCCCGGUGUAGCGGUGAAAUGCGUAGAGAUCGGGAGGAAUACCAGUGGCGAAGGCGGCCUUCUGGACUGACACUGACGCUGAGGUGCGAAAGCGUGGGUAGCAAACAGGAUUAGAUACCCGGGUAGUC
rnacentral:rRNA from 1 species